rnacentral:rRNA from 1 species
UACGGAGGGGGCGAGCGUUGCUCGGAAUUACUGGGCGUAAAGGGCGCGUAGGCGGCGUUUUAAGUCGGGGGUGAAAGCCUGUGGCUCAACCACGGAACGGCCUUCGAUACUGGGAAGCUUGAGUAUGGUAGAGGUUGGUGGAAUUGCAAGUGUAGCGGUGAAAUGCGUAGAUAUUCGCAAGAACACCGGUGGCGAAGGCGGCCAACUGGACCAAUACUGACGCUGAGGCGCGAAAGCGUGGGGAGCAAACAGG